AUGGCAUGGGGUCCUGGCCAGCACCUGGCAAAACUCCCGAAGCAGCAAAAUUUCCGCUGGCGCAGGAGUCCUCUCCCUCCCUUCGGUCCUUGGUACAAUAAGCUUUUCAGCAGCAGAGGGCGGCAGAGAUUGGAAGAAAAAACCGCUAGCGAAAUCCUGCAGCAGCGGCAGAAGAAAAACUCCUCCUGUUCGCACGGGAAACCGUCCCCACCAGACCCGCUGUGUCCCCGACUGCCGCUCGGCGGCAGGGACAGCCCAGAAACCACAGAAACGGGCCAGGGAAGGACUCACCUUGCACAGUGCGGAUUCGCUUUGGCAGAGCGCGAGCUGGGAGCUAUUGGGAGAAAGAGAAAGCGCAAAUGUAUUUCUGUCCUUUCGGCUAAUGCUUUUGCAUGAGGCGUUCGCUCCUGUUAGUUGGCUGGUAGGAGGAAAAACAUAGUGGUUAAAUAUUUGCGAGGAGUAGGAAAAGCAAUUCAAAAUGACAUAUGAGCCCCCAGGUCCUACUUUGGGAUGUGAGAAAAAUAGAGCAUGCAAAAUGCAGCGCUCUUCCCGCACGGCCGGGGGACGAGCCUGGUGGAGGAGGCUUCGCUUGACUGCCCGACCCCAAUUCGGGUGAGUGGUGUGUCGGCAAAGGCCCCUUCCCCUCCCUCGGCGCAGCCGCUGGCGAGGUGAUGCACCUGCAGUCCCCGCGGGGAGACCUUCGCUGCCCUGACGCCAGAGGAAGCAUCCUUCUACCCUCAGAUGUUACCUGCUGGUUUCUCUCUUCAUUCCUUGCUCUCCUCUUGCCUGUUCCACAACGAGUAAAGCACCUGGGCUGUAAAACCAGCCAAGGGAGAACAUGAGCCUCAUCCCUUCUCAGGGGUCUGCCUGGAUAAAUCCUGGCUGUGCUUUCCUGGCUGCUCAGAGAUCAAUGUCCAGUAGCAAAAACCCAGCCGAGGUGGUGCCAGGAAGCUCAGUGUUGCCUCCUGAGAUGGGAUGCUGAUCUUGGGCAGAUUGGGAGCUGGGGGCCAAAUCCUCGCAGCGCUAUAAACUACGCAGCACCAGAGGACACCACCGAAUCCCACUUCUCCCGCCGCUGCCGCGCAUUGCUUUCUGGGGGCGUCUACUGCUAAACAGUCCAAUUUUACUAAAGCCAACAGAAAGCAAAGUGAGGGCCCCGGGCAGAAAUUACCCCCCAUCUCCACUCCACGAGCUGCUUGUCACCUAACACAUGAGGGUGUUUCCUCAUAAAGAAAAUCACCUUUACAGGUGGGGAAAGCUUCUUGUUGGAAUGUAAUGUCUCCCAAGCACAGGAUUAUUAGGGCUGCCAUCAUUCCUACCUUAUUACAAUUAUUAUUAUUAAUUAUAAUCAUUAUGAAUUGUUAUUAUUAGAAGCUCCAGUGGAGGGAAGGCACCA
rnacentral:lncRNA from 1 species